rnacentral:rRNA from 1 species
AGCGAACGCUGGCGGCAGGCCUAAAACAUGCAAGUCGAACGAAGUCUUCGGACUUAGUGGCGGACGGGUGAGUAACACGUGGGAACGUGCCUUUAGGUUCGGAAUAACUCAGGGAAACUUGUGUCAAUACCGAAUGUGCCCUUGGGGGGAAAGAUUUAUCGCCUUUAGACCGGCCCGUGUCUGAUUAGCUAGUUGGUGAGGUAAAGGCUCACCAAGGCUACGAUCAGUAGCUGGUCUGAGAGGAUGACCAGCCACAUUGGGACUGAGACCCGGCACAAACUCCUACGGGAGGCAGCAGUGGGGAAUCUUGCGCAAUGGGCGAAAGCCUGACGCAGCCAUGCCGCGUGGAUGAUGAAGGUCUUAGGAUUGUAAAAUCCUUUCACCAGUGAAGAUAAUGACUGUAGCCGGAGAAGAAGCCCCGGCUAACUUCGUGCCAGCCGCCGCAGUAAAAC